rnacentral:rRNA from 1 species
ACGCUAGCUACAGGCUUAACACAUGCAAGUCGAGGGUUAGCAUUUCAGUUUGCUUGCAAACUGGAGAUGGCGACCGGCGCACGGGUGAGUAACACGUAUCCAACCUGCCGAUAACUCGGGGAUAGCCUUUCGAAAGAAAGAUUAAUACCCGAUGGCAUAAUUAGACCGCAUGGUCUUAUUAUUAAAGAAUUUCGGUUAUCGAUGGGGAUGCGUUCCAUUAGGCAGUUGGUGAGGUAACGGCUCACCAAACCUUCGAUGGAUAGGGGUUCUGAGAGGAAGGUCCCCCACAUUGGAACUGAGACACGGUCCAAACUCCUACGGGAGGCAGCAGUGAGGAAUAUUGGUCAAUGGACGAGAGUCUGAACCAGCCAAGUAGCGUGAAGGAUGACUGCCCUAUGGGUUGUAAACUUCUUUUAUAUGGGAAUAAAGUUUUCCACGUGUGGAAUUUUGUAUGUACCAUAUGAAUAAGGAUCGGCUAACUCCGUGCCAGCAGCCGCGGCAAUACGGAGGAUCCGAGCGUUAUCCGGAUUUAUUGGGUUUAAAGGGAGCGUAGGUGGACAGUUAAGUCAGUGUGAAAAGUUUGCGGCUCAACCGUAAAAUUGCAGUUGAUACUGGCUGUCUUGAGUACAGUAGAGGUGGGCGGAAUUCGUGGUGUAGCGGUGAAAUGCUUAGAUAUCACGAAGAACUCCGAUUGCGAAGGCAGCUCACUGGACUACAACUGACACUGAUGCUCGAAAGUGUGGGUAUCAAACAGGAUUAGAUACCCUGGUAGUCCACACAGUAAACGAUGAAUACUCGCUGUUUGCGAUAUACAGUAAGCGGCCAAGCGAAAGCAUUAAGUAUUCCACCUGGGGAGUACGCCGGCAACGGUGAAACUCAAAGGAAUUGACGGGGGCCCGCACAAGCGGAGGAACAUGUGGUUUAAUUCGAUGAUACGCGAGGAACCUUACCCGGGCUUAAAUUGCAUUUGAAUAAUCUGGAAACAGGUUAGCCGCAAGGCAAAUGUGAAGGUGCUGCAUGGUUGUCGUCACCUCGUGCCGUGAGGUGUCGGCUUAAGUGCCAUAACGAGCGCAACCCUUAUCUUUAGUUACUAACAGGUCAUGCUGAGGACUCUAGAGAGACUGCCGUCGUAAGAUGUGAGGAAGGUGGGGAUGACGUCAAAUCAGCACGGCCCUUACGUCCGGGGCUACACACGUGUUACAAUGGGGGGUACAGAAGGCAGCUACCUGGUGACAGGAUGCUAAUCCCAAAAGCCUCUCUCAGUUCGGAUCGAAGUCUGCAACCCGACUUCGUGAAGCUGGAUUCGCUAGUAAUCGCGCAUCAGCCAUGGCGCGGUGAAUACGUUCCCGGGCCUUGUACACACCGCCCGUCAAGCCAUGAAAGCCGGGGGUACCUGAAGUACGUAACCGCAAGGAGCGUCCUAGGGUAAAACUGGUAA